CCUACGGGUGGCAGCAGUAGGGAAUCUUGCGCAAUGGGCGAAAGCCUGACGCAGCAACGCCGCGUGAUCGAGACGCCCUUCGGGGUGUAAAGAUCUGUCAGUGGGGACGAACCUUGACCGUACCCACAGAGGAAGCACCUGCUAACUCCGUGCCAGCAGCCGCGGUAAUCCGGGGGGUGCAAGCGUUGGCCGGAAUCAUUGGGCGUAAAGUGUUCGUAGGCGGCACGUCAAGGCUGGUGUGAAAGGCAGAGGCUCAACUUCUGUACGGCACUGGAUACUUGCGAGCUAGAAUGCGGUAGAGGUAAAGGGAAUUCCUGGUGUAGCGGUGAAAUGCUUAGAUAUGAGGAGGAACAUCGGUGGCGUAAGCGCUUUACUGGGCCGUAAUUGACGCUGAGGAACGAAAGCGAGGGUAGCAAAUGGGAUUAGAUACCCGAGUAGUC
rnacentral:rRNA from 1 species